AACUUUGUAAAAAAAUUAAGUAAGUGUUUAAAGCAAGCUAACGCUUGAAUACAUUAGCAUGGAUAAUGAAAUAGGACGUUCGAUCCUAUUUUGUUGGUUUCUAGGAUUGACGUAAUGAUUAAUAGGGAUAUUGGGGGCAUUAGUAUUCAAUUGUCAGAGGUGAAAUUCUUGGAUUUAUUGAAGACUAACUACUGCGAAAAGCAUUUGCCAAGGAUGUUUUCAUUAAUCAAGAACGAAAGUUAGGGGAUCGAAGACGAUCAGAUACCGUCGUAGUCUUAACCAUAAACUAUGCCGACUAGGGAUCGGAUGAUGUUAAUUUUUUAAUGACUCAUUCGGCGCCUUACG
rnacentral:rRNA from 1 species